rnacentral:miRNA from 1 species
CAUGACGUCACAGAGGCUUCGC